rnacentral:tRNA from 1 species
CAAAAUAUAGCUUAAUAAAAGCAUCUUGUUUACACCAAGAAGUUGUUUAGAUACUAAACUAUUUUGAG